rnacentral:rRNA from 1 species
GAUGAACGCUGGCGGCGUGCCUAAUACAUGCAAGUCGAGCGAACGGACGAGAAGCUUGCUUCUCUGAUGUUAGCGGCGGACGGGUGAGUAACACGUGGAUGACCUACCUAUAAGACUGGGAUAACUUCGGGAAACCGGAGCUAAUACCGGAUAAUAUUUUGAACCGCAUGGUUCAAAAGUGAAAGACGGUCUUGCUGUCACUUAUAGAUGGAUCCGCGCUGCAUUAGCUAGUUGGUAAGGUAACGGCUUACCAAGGCAACGAUGCAUAGCCGACCUGAGAGGGUGAUCGGCCACACUGGAACUGAGACACGGUCCAGACUCCUACGGGAGGCAGCAGUAGGGAAUCUUCCGCAAUGGGCGAAAGCCUGACGGAGCAACGCCGCGUGAGUGAUGAAGGUCUUCGGAGCGUAAAACUCUGUUAUUAGGGAAGAACAUAUGUGUAAGUAACUGUGCACAUCUUGACGGUACCUAAUCAGAAAGCCACGGCUAACUACGUG